CCGAGGGAAAAAAAAAAGAGCGAAAAAAAAAGAAAGUGCUGGCGGAGAUAUGUAGGAGGCGAGAUGCCUUUUUCAAGUAUUGGGUUGUCUUUCAUAUCCUCAUUGCUUCUACAAUCACAAGUAGGUAAGUUCUAUACAAACUUAAAUUUCUUAUUUGGCUCCAAUAAGUGAUAAAGAAGUUCAAAUUCUUGAUGGUUUGGUAUGGGUAAACCAUUUUUGAAGCUUUUAAGUUAUGUGAAUCAAAUAUUUAUGAAUUUUCGGGUUGGAGCUUUGUGAAAAAAAAAAAAUAAUAAUAAAGAAUCAGUAAGUAAAUUGGGUUAAAAUUGAAAUUUAAAUAAAGAAAUCAAAAGGCAGGUGAGGAUUUGAGUCAAUUAAUGAAUUGUUUUGGCACAUGUAUAUGUCUAGUGGCUGGAAGUAUUAAGAAGGGAACAUACCUAAUUGCAUAGCUUGAUGUUAGUGUGGAAGUAGUAAACUGAUGAAGAAGAGAUGAAUUGUGUUUAAUUGGAAUUCAAUUUAGCCUGAAUGUGGUAUGUUCUUGAUUUAGUAAUUUUGAUAUUACAGAACAAAAUAAAAAGGGACAGUAGUUAUAGUGUAAAUUCAAGAUGUGGGAGAUAGUAUGUUAUUGUGCCAAUGUCGUGGGAAAUGAAUGUGGAAAACAUAUUGUGGAAAACAUAUUCUGUAAAUAAAUCGGUAAAUGAGAACAUGUUCUGCCAUAUGGAAAUUAAAAGGGAAUAAAGCGAUUUAAUAAGGAAUGGAUUAAGUUGUAUAUAGAGGUUGUAUGUUUAUAAAGUAGUGAUUUAAGAAAGUACGGUAAAUUAAUGGAUUUGAUUAUGUGGGAUGAUUGGUUGGUAAAUAAUCAAAGAGAAGAAAAGUUUGGAAAAUGAUAGUUUUCAUGAAAUACUCACAUGAAAGGAAGAUUUUAUGGAACAAGAUGUGUAUUAAAUGGGAGGAAUUAUGGUUGUUAGUUUUCAUUAGAUUGGAAAGUAUAAUUAUUUUAUGUUUGGGAUGAAAGUAAUUUUGAUAAAUUAAAAAUUUGUAAAGGAGUUAGUGAAUAGAAUCAUCUCCAAUUGAUUAAAGAAAAAUUGGGGAAUUCAUUCAAGUAUCGAGAAAUGGAAAUUCAAGAGAAAAUUUGAAAGUUGAGGAAUUAAGUGGUGACUUUGCUUUAGUUUAAUUGUCAUAUUUUAAUUUGAGUUGUUAUACAAUUAUUUCAUGUAGUGACGUGGAAGUUUGGAGAUGCCCACCAAUUUAGCCGAGAUUUCUAUCCAUAAAUCAGUGAGUGGAUAAAAUUUAUUUUUCAGAAAUAAGUCUUCUUUAAAUUUUAAAGUUAUUUAUUUUAUAAAGUUGACUUCAUAGCAUGAUUUUUAGAAUAAAAUGGAUUUUAUUAUCAAUUGCUUUUAAAGUUAAAUUUAGUUCAGUUAAAUUAUUUUGAAAGCUUGUUAUAUUCUUAUUACAUGUUUCAGUAUAGUUAAAGUUAUUUUUAAAAAUCACUAGAAAGUACCAAGGUGAUUUUACCUCAUUUUGCACUGAUGUGAAUGUGUUUCCACAGUGUAUGACUAGUUAUAGUGAUUUUACCCGCUCUACACCAUCGUGAAUGUGUUUCCAUAGUGCAUGACCAGAAUAUCAGAGAUCUUUGGGACCCACUCUCGUACACACAUAGGCUUUGGGUCGUGUACUAGGGUGAUUAGCCUUUGGAGCAGCUCUGCGUACGUAUGACUAGAUUAUCAGAUUAUCAGAUUUGAAUGGCUUUGCCUUGUACAUCGAGAUUACUCUGUACAUGAGUAAGGCUAUUCAUUGGGUACUUUUUUUGGUGUGAUUUUUCAGUAUUUAUUCAGUUCUCAGACUUCAGAUUAUGGAAUUCAGUUAAUUCAGUUCUCACAAUAAAGCUUUCAUCUUAAAGUAUUGAGCAGGAG
rnacentral:lncRNA from 1 species